rnacentral:rRNA from 1 species
UGAAACUUGUCCACUCCUUCGGGGGAGACAGUCAUGAGACGUGAGUAUAAGACCUGAGUGUAAAGACCUUAGGGUGAAGCAAUUGGAGGGCAAGCUUUGGUGCCAGCAGCCGCGGUAACUCCAACUCCAAGAGUGUCUAUGGUGGAUGCUGCAGUUAAAGGGUCCGUAGUCGUGAAUGCAAUUAAAUGUCGUUGUUCAAUAGCGAUGAGUUUGCUAAUGUUUGCGGAACGGAUAGGGAGUGUAGUAUAGACUGGCGAAGAAUGAAAUCUCAAGACCCAGUUUGGACUAACGGAGGCGAAGGCGACACUCUUAGACGUAUCUUAGGAUCAAGGACGAAGGCAGGAGUAUCGAAAGUGAUUAGACACCGCUGUAGUUCCUGCAGUAAACUAUGCCGACAGCCUGUGUGUGAGAAUACGUGGGCGGGAGAAAUCUUAGUGUUCGGGCUCUGGGGAUAGUACGCUCGCAAGGGUGAAACUUAAAGCGAAAUUGACGGAAGGACACUACCAGGAGUGGAUUGUGCUGCUUAAUUUAACUCAACGCGGGAAAACUUACCAGGGUCAAGUCAUUCGUUGAUCGAAUACGUGAGAAUGGCAGGAGUGGUGCAUGG